rnacentral:rRNA from 1 species
GACGAACGCUGGCGGCGUGCCUAAUACAUGCAAGUCGAACGCUUCUUUUUCCACCGGAGCUUGCUCCACCGGAAAAAGAGGAGUGGCGAACGGGUGAGUAACACGUGGGUAACCUGCCCAUCAGAAGGGGAUAACACUUGGAAACAGGUGCUAAUACCGUAUAACAACAAAAACCGCAUGGUUUUUGUUUGAAAGAUGGUUUCGGCUAUCACUUGAGGAUGGACCCGCGGCGUAUUAGCUAGUUGGUGAGGUAAUGGCUCACCAAGGCAAUGAUACGUAGCCGACCUGAGAGGGUAAUCGGCCACAUUGGGACUGAGACACGGCCCAAACUCCUACGGGAGGCAGCAGUAGGGAAUCUUCGGCAAUGGACGAAAGUCUGACCGAGCAACGCCGCGUGAGUGAAGAAGGUUUUCGGAUCGUAAAACUCUGUUGUUAGAGAAGAACAAGGAUGAGAGUAACUGUUCAUCCCUUGACGGUAUCUAACCAGAAAGCCACGGCUAACUACGUGCCAGCCGCCGCCGUAACAC